rnacentral:rRNA from 1 species
GGACAGACGGGGACAUUCGUAUUGCGGCGCUAGAGGUGAAAUUCUUGGACCGUCGCAAGACGAACUAAGGCGAAAGCAUUUGUCAAGAAUGUUUUCAUUAAUCAAGAACGAAAGUUAGAGGUUCGAAGGCGAUCAGAUACCGCCCUAGUUCUAACCAUAAACGAUGCCAGCCAGCGAUUAGCCUGAGUUCCUUAAAUGACUCGGCUAGCAGCUUCCGGGAAACCAAAGCUUUUCGGUUCCGGGGGAAGUAUGGUUGCAAAGCUGAAACUUAAAGGAAUUGACGGAAGGGCACCACCAGGAGUGGAGCCUGCGGCUUAAUUUGACUCAACACGGGAAAACUUACCUGGUCAGGACACUGGAAGGAUUGACAGAUUGAGAGCUCUUUCUUGAUUCAGUGGGUGGUGGUGCAUGGCCGUUCUUAGUUGGUGGAGCGAUUUGUCUGGUUAAUUCCGAUAACGAACGAGACUCUAGCCUACUAAAUAGACUGCUCAACUUUAUAGCUGCAUCACCUUGCAGUUGCUUCGGUGGCUGUAAGGCUGUGGUGACGUUGGCAGUGCUUCUUAGAGGGACAGGCGGCGGUUCAGCCGCACGAAACAGAGCAAUAACAGGUCUGUGAUGCCCUUAGAUGUCCAGGGCCGCACGCGCGCUACACUGAAGUGACCAGCGUGCAAUUAACGUUUCCUACUCCGUCAGGAGUGGGUAACCCGUUGAACCUUCUUCGUGAUUGGGAUAGGGGAUUGUAAUUAUUCCCCUUGAACGAGGAAUUCCCAGUAAGCGCAAGUCAUAAGCUUGCGUUGAUUACGUCCCUGCCCUUUGUACACACCGCCCGUCGCUACUAC